rnacentral:lncRNA from 1 species
GCAGUUGAGCAAGAUCACGCAAAAACCUCUGCCAAGACAGAACGUGCAUCAGCUCAGCAGGAAAACAGUUCAACGUGUAUAGGGUCGGCCAUCAAAUCAGAGAGUGGGAACUCAGCUCGGAGCUCUGGCAUCUCCAGUCAGAAUAGCUCUACAAGUGAUGGAGAUCGAUCUGUUUCCAGCCAAAGCAGCAGCAGCGUUUCCUCUCAGCUGAAUAAACCACAUCAAAGGAAAGGGACCACAGUAUUUGAAUGUUUGAAAGUCUGUAAAGCUUAAGGUUUUAAAAAUGUUGCCCGUAAUGUUGAACGUGUCUGUUAAAAAAUAAAAGAAAAAAUAGUUGCUUCAAACUA